rnacentral:rRNA from 1 species
UGCGUAGGUGGUCGGGUAAGUCUGAUGUGAAAUCUCCGAGCUUAACUCGGAAAUGGCAUUGGAUACUAUUCGGCUAGAGGGUUUGAGGGGGGACUGGAAUACUUGGUGUAGCAGUGAAAUGCGUAGAUAUCAAGUGGAACACCAGUGGCGAAGGCGAGUCCCUGGAAAACUCCUGACACUGAGGCACGAAAGCUAGGGGAGCAAAC